rnacentral:lncRNA from 1 species
AAAAAACUCCCCACACGUGAUGAUCACCCUGUGGUCAGUUUUGUUUGAAUAUGUUCCAACCUACAGAGUAGUUGUGGGUAGUUUUGACUGUUCACGAUAAUAUUUACAAAGAAUUGAAUAAAUAUUUUUUAUUUCCAAAUAUUGGUGGUGGUCGUGGUGAUUAAGAAUCUGAAUCGGAUGAACCAGCCUUGCCUUUAGAGAAAUGUCCAAGUUACGUUUGGUUUAUGGGGGCUCUAUAUUGGGAGAAGUGAAGAGGCCUAGGACCCAGGAUUUCCAAGAUAAGGUUGUUCAGCAGGGCUCAUAGAGAACAUCAUUUAGAAUUUGGCUUGUUCCCAAAUGAUUCCCUUUAUAAUUCUUAACAGAGAGGCUCUGACUGUAUCAGUAUGGUGUUUCUUUAUUAAGCAAAAGCUCAUGCCAAGUGACUUCAGGUGCAUUUGACUUCAUAUUUAGUCACAGUGUGAAUUUCUGUAUGAUUAACUUACCCAUCACCGUGAUGAAGAAUGAGAUGGUGGUAGUGAUGCUGUGAUUAUAUUACCUCUUUCAUCCUUGAUUUUUGGUGAUUAGUCUUCCUUGAAACUUUCUCUUGACAUGGACCAUCAAUAUGGAAAUCUGAAGCUUCCAUUGAUGGAGGUGGUCUCUGAACUAGCAUCCAUCCAAGCCAGGAAUAGACUGCAAUAAACUUAUUGAGAAUAACACAAUCCUUAAUUGUAUGUGUAAUCCAUGGCUUUCACUGUCUUUACCACACCAAAUGGCAUUGCCAAGUCUUAUUUUUCCUCCUUCCUCUGCUUCUCACACAACCUCUUUUCUUCAUGCAAUUCCAUUUUCCAUUCCAUUUCCAUUCAAUGAAUCUUCCAAGCCUAAAGGUUUAAAUCUGGUCAUCCCCCUCUCUUCCAUGCAGUUUCAUUUCUAAGAUGGCAUUGAGGAUAUUGCCAUGGUUGUUUCAUACUUAGUUGUUAUUGUUAUGAUAGGUAAUAUAUAAUUCUGAACUAAAAUUGCUGGCUAUUUUUUGUCAUUGUGACAACAGGUUUUAGAAACAUAGCACUCCAAUUUUGCUACUGAAUGUUUUGAUUAAAUGGGAGGGACUAGAAGACUACAAUUUAAGAGCAGGCUUCAGCAAUAAUUUUUAAAAAUAGAUUCAGAGUCGAUCAUCUUACUAUAUUUCUAUCUAGGCUUAUCUCCCUUCAUGCAGUUAGUUACAACACUUGGAGGGCUGUUUCCAAGACUGGCACUAAAGAGGUCACUUUUUCCACUCUCUCUCCCAGAAAAUAUCAGGAAGUGCAGUAAGGUUCAUGAAAAUUUAAGCUUGAAGUUUAGAAAACUCAAAACAACCCAAACCCUCAAACAUUCAGUUUGGUUUGAAUCUUGGACAAAGGUUUUCUAUGCAGCUAGUGGAG